AUAUUUCUCUGGUGCUGCAAUCGCCAGUUCAGCAAUAGCUGCACUCUGCACGAUUGUGUUCCGGUCAACACCAUACUUCCGGAAAGCUUCUGCCAUGUUGCUCCCUCUUUUGAAAAACUCCAGGACUGAUUUGUACCGCUUUACCACCUGCCAUGGAUCAGUAACUAAGACAGUAAAAAAAAAAAAAAAAAAAAUAUUUCGGCAAUUGUUAUGUUUCUAGUAAUCACAUUUUAAGAACCCAUUCCAUUCAUGUGUUUAAUGGUAAACUACACAACACAGAUUACAAAACACAAGUUUUCCAUUCCUGGUAUAUUAAAAAAAACUAUUAUUUCAAUUUGCACAACCUACCCCUUUGACAGAAUUUUCUCAUUUGCUUGUUUUUUUUCUGUUUUUUCACUCUUUUCUUUGCUUUCUUUCCCUUCUUCUUUCUUUUCUUCUUCUCCCUCGAAGAGUCUGAGCUAGAUGACUCUGAGUCAGAAGACUCAGAAGAGUCAGAAUCAGUGGAGUCACUUUCUGAAUCGAUUUUCAUUAUUUUGGGGAUGUCUGCAGGCUUAUCUUUAAUUCUGUCAGGAAUGUUGUUGUCCAUUUUGAUGGCUUUAAUCGGGGAAGAAAAAAAAAAACAGUUAAAAGUCAUAUUCUGUAUGCCUGCAUUUGUGACUAUAGGUUACAUGUUAACUUCACUCCAAAUGACAAAAAAAAGUCCAUAUCAACAUCACCACUGCCUGUUACAUCUACCUUAGUUCAGUUUAAUACGUGGGUUUACCAGAUUUACCACAUUUUAUGUAUUUAAAGAGAGAUUUUAAUACUAAAACAACACAAAACUUUCACAAAAACUUUACCUUCUGACAGCUGUUGUCUAAGGAAAUCUCGAUCUUUUGUUAAAUCUUCUAUUUUCUCCUGCAGAUACUGACAUUUCACCUUCCAUGUGUCAGUCUCUGCCUUGGCUUUAGCCAAAGCUAUAGACACAGUGGGCACUGCUUCAGUGGGUUUAUCUAUAAAGAAAAAAAUAAUGAAUAAUAAAUAAUAAUAAUAGGCUAUUUAACAACAAAAUCAUCCUGAUUAUGUUAACGUUACACACACAGAGGGAGGGAGAGGGGGUUGGAGGGACUCUAAUGGUUUACUUAGUAAGUAAAAAUCGUUUAGUUUUCUCAGUUAUUUCUACUAUUCAAGCCUGGAUCAACCGUUUUCUUGAUGGUUUCAUUUGUAAAACUUAAAUAGUAGCUAUCUAAAGUUAGCUAGUUGAUAAACGUGCAUCAUUUACCGGAUUUUUCUGUGCGUUCAUCCCGAGACAGUUUUUUCUUCUGUCUCCCUCUGGUCUGAUGGUUUAAAUUGUCAUCCGUCAGUCCACUUUCCAUCAUCAAACUUGCUUUGGCAUUCGACACCUGUUUAUCAGUAUCCGCUGGAUAACCGCUGGCCGCUCUAUUUAUUUAAAUAUUUUUUUUUGCCGCAAAGUGCUGAAGGAUUGUGGGUAUGGUAGUUUUUCUUUAAAUGAACUGCAGAAAUUAAGCUUCUUUUUAACGAAGCUGAAAUAACAAUGACUGAUGGCUUCGAUAAAAUAACAGCAUUUAACAAUUUGAAAGUGAAUAAUACGUUUGUCUUGUUUUGAUUUAAAAUUGUAUUGCUAAAAAUCUCUCGGGAUUUGUACUUCCGGAAGGAACGCUACUUCCUGAUGAAAAGCCGAAAAGCCCGCUCAACUCCCUCGCAAAUUAACAGAUGCAACGGCGAACAUCACGUACAAUCCAGUGACACAUCAUGUGACAUGGCUCCAUCAUUAAAUCGAAAAUUGCUGUCAAUGAUUGAAGGACGUCAAACAAAGAGGAAGAAAUUGAAGUUGAUUAAAUGGCUCCAGAAAAAAAAAAUUGCUUAAAGCUAAAAUGAAGUGCAAUUUAUGCCAACAUAAAAUGAAGCUGACUCAUAAACCCAACAAAGCAGACAACUAUGUUUGGUCCUGUACACGAAACAGACAUAAGGGAAGGUUCAAGUCAGUGAGGUAUGGAUCACUUUUUGCCAAGUCAAAGUGUAAUUUAUUCUCAUGGAUGAAGUUCAUAUAUCGGUUUGCUCAAGGCCUUCAGUUGAGACAAAUCGACAUGAUUGAAGAUGGCAUUGCUGGAAGCUCACGUACACUCAGCAGCAUGGCCAAAAAAGUUCGAGCUAUUUGUAAAGAAUCCAUGAAGUUGUAUGCCAGAAGGAAGGGCCAAAUGAUAGGACAACCCAGGGAGUUUGUUAUGAUUGAUGAGAGCAACUUCCGUCACAAGCGAAAGCAGGUGCAAGUGUUGAUUAUCUGUCAACAAAUCAACGUUCUGCUAACUCCACCCUUUAGUACCGGACUACUGUGCUAGGUACCCUAAUGAAAGGGUCUCAAAAAAGUGGUACGGUAUGGUUCGGUUCAGAAUUAGGGUAUCAUUCACAUCUUCUGACAAUCGAAACUACAAAAAGUGAGUACCGUACUGAACUGUACUGUGCCGUACGGCUCAGUGGAAAUGAGGCAUUCUAUACAUUUGGAAGCUUUGUAUUUUUAAAUAUUGUAUAGUUGUAUACUUGUAUUUCAGUAUGGACGUGGAAGGUUCGCAAAGACUUGGCGUAGAAGAAAGUGGGUCUUUGGGAUGCUGGGGGUUGCACCAAGAAAUAGCAAGCCUAUUCUGAAACUCGUUCAUCGAAGGUCCCGGAACCAUCUUAUCCCACAUAUUGUACGACAUGUGCAUCCUGGAAGUUCCAUACUUAGUGAUGAAUGGCGUGCUUACAGAGGGGUACUAACCGAUCUUGGCUAUAACCAUUUUCCUGUGAAGCAUAAUCAGUGUUUUGUAGAUCCAAUAACAGGCAGCCAUACACAAAAUCUGGAAAGAGCAUGGUUAACUUACAAAGGAAAAAUAUGGCGUCUUAGAGGAAAUAGGACAGAGGACCUACUAAAACAACAUCUAAAACUGAUAGAGUGGACUUACUGGCUUGGAAAUCGGCACAAAAAUGGUCCUCUUGGAAGACUGUUGAAGGAUAUUCAUCGAAAAUAUCACCUUUAAAACACAAAACUGAUAACUCCCGAAGCCCAUUAUUUCUCCAGCCUAACUUGACCAUGCUGGCUCACUCCCAGAUCAUCCAUAUUUUUACUCUUUUGAAACACCUCUUCCAUAGUCCCAUUCAUUGAUACAAACAGUAUAUAUAUUUCUAUAUUUCUUAUUUUGUACAUUUUGUAAUUCUGCUGCAGAUGAUUUUUCUUGCUUCACACACUACAGUUGUACAAAUGAAUUUCCAAUUGUCUUUUUAUUAAUUUGUAAUAUGUAUACAUUGUUAAUUGAUACCAUUGUUAUGUAAUGUAGUAAAGGUUUUGAAA